GGGUCCAUAGUGUAGUGGUUAGCACGUCUGCUUUACACGCAGAAGGUCCUCACCCCAGUGGAGCCA
rnacentral:tRNA from 1 species